ACUAGAACCAAAUAUAACUUAAAAAUUAAGGCAACCACUUUUCUCCCUUUUUAUAAUACUCAAAUGAGAAAUAAAAUUUCGGAAUUAAGACUUUUUCCAUCAGAAGAGACAGUAAUAUCCAC
rfam:Ochotona princeps cont2.277511, whole genome shotgun sequence.